AAGGCGGUUGGGAGGAGAAGUCGCUCGAGCGAGGAAGCGGCGGGAGGGCGGCCGUUAGGAAAAUGGCGCCGUGCGGCCCGGGGCAGACACCGGGCCACCAGAAGCCUUCUCAGUACUCUACAAGUGACUUCACCAACAUCCUGUACAACUUCAACAUGAUGUCCCAACUCCUUUAUUCAAUGGUGUGAACAAUUAAGCUACCCGAUGAAGGAGCAGCGCUCCGAAAGCUAGUGCUUCCAAAUAAAACUGUUAGACUAUAACCCGGUGUUGUGAUUUUUAAACCAUGUCCCACCUAGUCCGAC